UACAGAGGGUGCGAGCGUUGUCCGGAAUCACUGGGCGUAAAGGGCGCGUAGGCGGCCUGAUAAGUAGGGGGUGAAAUCCUGUGGCUUAACUGCAGGGCUGCCUCCUAGACUGUUAGGCUCGAGCACGGUAGAGGCAGAUGGAAUUCCCGGUGUAGCGGUGGAAUGCGUAGAUAUCCGGAGGAACACCGGUGGCGAAGGCGGCUUCCUGGACCGACACUGACGCUGAGGCGCGAAAGCUAGGGGAGCAAACGGG
rnacentral:rRNA from 1 species